rnacentral:snRNA from 1 species
GUGCUCACUUUGGCAGCACAUAUGCUAAAACUGGAAUGAAACAGAGAAGAUUAGCAUGGUCCCCGAUUAAAAAAAAAAUGAACCAUGGUAGGAUAUCCAGGUCAGCUUU